UACAGAGGUCCCAAGCGUUGUUCGGAUUCACUGGGCGUAAAGGGUGCGUAGGUGGUCAGGUAAGUCUGAUGUGAAAUCUCUGGGCUCAACCCAGAAAUGGCAUUGGAUACUAUCUGGCUAGAGGAAUGGAGGGGGGACUGGAAUACUUGGUGUAGCAGUGAAAUGCGUAGAUAUCAAGUGGAACACCAGUGGCGAAGGCGAGUCCCUGGACAUUUCCUGACACUGAGGCACGAAAGCUAGGGGAGCAAACAGG
rnacentral:rRNA from 1 species